CAGAGUAUGAGUAUUCUCAUAACGAUAACUUUACGAAAAUUCAAAAGUUUGGGUAAAACGUCACAUUGUGCCAUUAAAUGGAACUAUUUAAGCUGUUACAUUAGUAAUCACUGGCGAUUCCUCAUUAAAAUUGGUGUCACUGCUUUGUGAAGUCUCUUCGUCACUAUCAGAUCUAUUUUGCAAUAUUGAUUUUGUGCAUACUCACUGGAGUCCCAAUUUUAUAAUUUGGACCAAUCCUUUUUUAACUAUGUUUGAGGCAUUUCAUUCCCAACUUGUUGUUGUUGUAAUCACAUUUUCGUGUGAAGGUAGCGAUCCUCGUCAAGCUCCUGCAGUCACACAAAAAAUGGCAAAGUUUCAACCACCUCAAAACGAUGUUAAUCCGUUGGGAGAAAAGUGGAAUUUCCGCAAAGAGGUCCCUAAGUUGGUACAACGUGAAAUCUCAUUCCCUCUCGGCCCCUCUAUUCUUCUCUCGCACAUGACAUUCACGGUGACUGUUGUAAAGGCCGCAGCCUAUGUGGUCUGGCACCCAUCAGGAGAAUGUGUCUCGGUAUCGUCUGAAAAUUCCAUAAAGCGAUAGUGAAAUCUGAUUUUAUUACAGUUCUGCUACCAUUUGAGCGAACUGAACAUGCCAAGUGAUGGGGAACAAGAGAAAGCCAAGUCGUUAAAACCGUAGAAUUUCUUUUAUCAAAAGCCGUUGCCCAGCGGACACAUGAAUAAUGGAGAAGUUCAGAACUUGAUUUGGUUAGAAAAAAAAAAUAUAUAAAUAUUUCUAAUUUAAUUCUAAAAAAAAACAGUAGCUCACACUAAGAGCC